rnacentral:rRNA from 1 species
ACAAGUUAUUAAGAGCAACGGGCGGAUGCCUUGGCGCUGAAGGCGAUGAAAGACGUGAUAAGCUGCGAUAAGCCUCGGGGAGGAGCUAAAUAUCCUAUGAUCCGUGGAUCUCUGAAUGGGGCAACCCACUGGAAGCAGUUCCAGUACCUCUUUUGAGGAGCUGACCUGGGGAAGUGAAACAUCUCAGUACCCAGAGGAAAAGAAAUCAAACGAGACUCCCAAAGUAGCGGCGAGCGAAAUGGGAUGAGGCCAAACCGGAUAGUUUCGACUAUCCGGGGUUGUAGGGCCGCCGUACGUGAUCUCGGAGUAGGCAGGAGAAGCUGGCUGGAAAGCCACACCACAGCGGGUGACAGUCCCGUAUCCGAAACCGAAAAGAGCACAGGCGGUACCUGAGUACUGCGAGGCACGUGAAACCUCGUGGGAAUCCGGGAGGACCAUCUUCCAAGCCUAAGUACGAUCCAGCGACCGAUAGUGAACCAGUACCGUGAGGGAAAGGUGAAAAGAACCCCUGUCAGGGGAGUGAAAUAGAAUCUGAAACCUGUUGCUUACAAGCUGUGGGAGCAGUUUUACGACUGUGACCAUGUGCCUUUUGCAUAAUGAGUCAGCGAGUUAAUCUGUUGUGCAAGGUUAAGCGGAAGCGGAGCCGAAGCGAAAGCGAGUCUGAACAGGGCGUUGAGUACAGCGGAUUAGACCCGAAACCGGGUGAUCUAUCCAUGAGCAGGUUGAAGCAAGGGUAAAGCCUUGUGGAGGACCGAACCAGUAUCGGCUGAAAACGAUUUGGAUGACUUGUGGAUAGGGGUGAAAGGCCAAUCAAACCCGGUGAUAGCUGGUUCUCCCCGAAAUAUAUUGAGGUAUAGCCUCAGGGAUUGUUUAUCGGAGGUAAAGCACUGACAAGGCUAGGGGUCCUACCAGAUUACCAAACCUUAUCAAACUCUGAAUGCCGAAUAAAUGUACCCUGGGAGUCAGACGGCGGGUGCUAAGGUCCGUCGUCAAAAGGGUAAGAGCCCAGAUCGACAGCUAAGGCCUCCAAUUCCAUACUCAGUGGUGAAGGUGGUGGAGUUGUUCAGACAGCCAGGACGUUGGCUUAGAAGCAGCCAUCGUUUAAAGAAAGCGUAAUAGCUCACUGGUCUAAUGAUUCUGCGCCGAAAAUGUAACGGGGCUAAGUAUGGAGCCGAAGCUUCGGAUUUGUCUUUAUGACAUCUGGUAGGGGAGCGUUCUCAGCGGGCUGAAGCUGCAGUGAAAACUGUGGUGGACUUCUGAGAAGUGAUUAUGCUGACAUGAGUAACGAUAAAACAGGUGAAAAACCUGUUCGCCGAAAACCCAAGGUUUCCUGGGUAAAGUUAAUCUUCCCAGGGUUAGUCGGUCCCUAAGGAGAGGGCGAAAGCCGUAUCUGAUGGAAAACGGGUUAAUAUUCCCGUACUUGCAUGGAUGUGCGAUGGAGGGACGCAGUAAGAUAGGUGAUCCGGGUGUUGGAUAUCCCGGUGCAAGCGUGUAGGAGUGAAGGGCAGGCAAAUCCGUUCUUCUUAUCCGAGACGCGAGUCCGAGCCGCAAGGCGGAAGUCAUUGAGUCUACACUGCCAAGAAAAGCUUCUAAGUUUAGUCCAUGUGAACCGUACUCGAAACCAACUCAGGUGGGUGGGAUGAAUAAUCCAAGGCGCUCGAGAGAAUUCUGGCUAAGGAACUCGGCAAAAUGACCCCGUAACUUCGGAAGAAGGGGUGCUCCUCUGUGUGAGUUUAUUUACUAUGCAAGCACGAGGGAGCCGCAGUGAAUUGGUGGUGGCGACUGUUUACUAAAAACAUAGGUCUGUGCGAAGUCGCAAGACGACGUAUACGGACUGACGCCUGCCCGGUGCCGGAAGGUUAAAAGGAGAGGUCAGCGCAAGCGAAGCCUUGAAUUGAAGCCCCGGUAAACGGCGGCCGUAACUAUAACGGUCCUAAGGUAGCGAAAUUCCUUGUCGGGUAAGUUC